rnacentral:rRNA from 1 species
UACGUAUGGUGCAAGCGUUAUCCGGAUUUACUGGGUGUAAAGGGUGCGUAGGUGGUGAGACAAGUCUGAAGUGAAAAUCCGGGGCUUAACCCAGGAACUGCUUUGGAAACUGCCUGACUAGAGUACAGGAGAGGUAAGUGGAAUUCCUAGUGUAGCGGUGAAAUGCGUAGAUAUUAGGAGGAACACCAGUGGCGAAGGCGACUUACUGGACUGCUACUGACACUGAGGCACGAAAGCGUGGGGAGCAAACAGG